GAAGACCCUAUUAUUCAUUGUUGAUAAAGGUAAAUUUCUAUUGACUGCUUUGGCUACCUCCUUUCCCCAUAGAGAUAUUGAAUAGGACGAACUAUUUUUUGUGCUACUGUAAUCUUGAAAAUGAACGCGCAAAUGUCCAUCAAAGGUAAGUAAAUACACCCGAAACAUAUAAAAUGCAGUCAAUCCUGCUGUGAAACAAGCUAUUAUUGCGAAAAUUGGUGAAUACAACCAACUAUCAUUAAGAAUUUCAUCUUUGGACCAAAAACAAGCAAGAGGUGGAAUACCGCAAAUAGAAAGUGUACCCAAUAAAAAAGUAGUUCUUGUAAUUGGAACAUAUCUUCUUAAACCACCCAUAAGAGCCAUAUUCUGACUUUUUUCUGGCGAAUAUCCAACAAUAGGUUCCAUUGAAUGAAUAAUGGAUCCGGAUCCCAAAAACAAUAAAGCUUUAGAAUAGGCAUGGGUAAUCAAAUGGAAUAAAGCAGCUCGAUAAGAACCUAUACCUAGAGCUAACAUAAUAUAACCCAAUUGAGACAUUGUAGAAUAGGCUAAACUUCUUUUUAUAUCUCUUUGAGCAAGAGCCAAAGUAGCUCCUAGUAGUACUGUUAUUACACCUAUUAAAGAUAUGAAAUUCAUUAUGUAAGGUAUAGCUAUGAAAAUAGGAAGAAGUCGAGCUACAAGAAAAAUUCCUGCUGCUACCAUAGUAGCAGCGUGUAUAAGAGCCGAGAUGGGAGUGGGUCCUUCCAUGGCAUCGGGUAACCAUACGUGAAGGGGGAAUUGUGCGGAUUUAGCAACUGCACCAAUGAAUAAUAAAGAGGCACACAAAGUAGCAAAUAAAGAACUGACACCAUUAUUAUGGAUCAAGUUAUUAGUUAUUUCGAACAAAUCCCGAAAUUCGAAACUACCUGUUAUCCAAUAAAAACCUAAAAUUCCUAAUAAUAAACCAAAAAUCCCCUACACGGUUAGUUACAAAAGCUUUUUGACAAGCACUUGCUGCAGUCGGUCGUGUGAACCAAAAUCCUAUUAAUAAAUAGGAACACAUCCCCACCAGUUCCCAAAAAAUAUAAAUUUGUAUCAAAUUGGAACUGGUAACUAAUCCCAACAUGGAAGCAUUGAAAAAACUCAUAUAAGCAAAAAAUCUCAGAUAUCCUUGAUCAUGAGACAUAUAAUUGUCACUAUAAAUAAGAACCAAGAUUCCAACAGUAGUAAUUAGUAUUGACAUAAUAGAACUAAGUGGGUCGAUCAAAUAUCCGAACUCUAAGGAAAAAUCAUUAUUGAUGGUCCAAGACCAUAGAUAUUGAUAGAUAGAACUUCCAUGUAUUUGUUGAAUAGAUAAAUUGGCUGAAAACCCCAUAACUAUACUUAACAGUAAAACACUAGGAAAAGCCCAUAUACGACGAAUAUUUUUUGUUGCUGUCGGAAUCAGUAGAAGUCCAAAUCCUAUUGACACAGUAACUGGAAGUGGAAGAAAAGGUAUUAUCCAUGCAUAUUGAUAUGUAUGUUCCAUAAGAAAACAAAAUGAAAUCUUUAAUAAUUCUACUAUUCUAGUCUAGUCUUAGUAGAAUAUUCUAUUCUGGUAAUUUAUAGCCAUAUUAUAUAGUAUAAUAAGAAAAAAGAGUUAUACCAAAAGGAGUACUUGAUUCUAAUUAUGUUUUAAUAAAAUUAUAUGUUUUAAUAGGUUUAAAAUAUAUUUUCAAACAGGUUUUAAACAUAUUCGAAAAUGCUUUUUUUAAACUAUUCUACCAGGGAAUAAGUAUAGAUAAUGACUAAAAGGAACAAUCUAUUUUGAACAAAACAAUACAUGUCUUUCACAUACAACGAUAAAAACUGGUAACCCUUUUUGAAUGGCAGUUCCCAAAAAGCGUACUUCUAUGUCAAAAAAACGUAUUCGUAAAAAUAUUUGGAAAAAAAAAGGAUUUUUAGCUGCAGUAAAGGCUUUUUCCUUAGCGAAAUCGGUUUCCACCGGACGUUCAAAAAGUUUUUUUGUGCAACAAACAAAUAAUAAAGUCUUGGAAUAAUCGGAAUUGACAUACCCGAAGAACUUCGAAUUUUUUAAGAUGAACGAUUCACAUUAAUUAAUGUAUUGAACUCCUCAAUAUCAAUAUGAGUUAGAACUAGCUGUUGUAGUAUGUAGAUGUGGUAUGUAGAAUAAAGGUAUGUAUAUCGAAUUCUGAAUAUUUUUUCUAUCUACUUUUUUCACAAUAGAAAAAUAUUUUUCUAUUGUGAAAAGUAGAGUAUGAUUACGAUAGAAAUGAAAAUUCUUUUGUUUCUUAUAUGCCUAACAAAAACCUAAUUAGUUUGGUAAAUCUUACCAUUAUGCAUUAUAUAUAUAAUGAAGAGACCAUUAUAUAUAAUAUGAAGAGUAUUAAUACUCUAAUGAUACUAAGGAAUGAUACUAAGGUGUCGAAAUCGUUAGAAAAUUUCAAAUUCUUUUGAUUUAGUGAUGAAAUUGUUAUACAUAUGAAAUCCUGGUUAUUUAAUCUUCUUCAUUGAAAAAAAAAAUAUUUUUUUUUUCAUUUUGUUUGAAUCUAUGAAAUCAAAUCGGAUAAAUAAAAAACGAAUCAAAAAAUAGAAAAUGAACAAUUCUUAGUUCUAUACCUCGACAGACAACAAAACUAUUGAGUUCUAACUGUUUUGGAAGAACUUAGUUUCUAGUACGCGAAAGUUUAUUAUUAAAACUAAACUUACUAAAACUAAACUUACUUUAUUAUUAAAACUAAACUUACAAUGAUCCCAACUAAAGAUUCUUUUUUUGAAUAGAGAUUCAAAUAGGAAUUUAAAUGAAUUUUGAUUUAUCGAUUCUAAUGUUUACUAAACUAUAUUGAAUCCUUGAUUCUCGACGAUUCAACAUGAAUUGACUAUUAUUAUUUCAAGUAAGCCGCCAUGGUGAAAUUGGUAGACACGCUGCUCUUAGGAAGCAGUGCUAGAGCAUCUCGGUUCGAGUCCGAGUGGCGGCAUCCUUGAAAUCCUAGAAAAUAAAUCCUCUAAAAGAGACACAAUGGAUCCUAUAAUGUAUUCAAUUCUCGAUUUAAAUUCUCUAAUGGGACCCCUUUUUAUGAUAUUUACAACUUUAGAACAUAUAUUAACUCAUAUCUCUUUUUCGAUAAUUUCAAUUGUGAUUACGAUUCAUUUAAUGAUCUUAUUAGUCCGCGAAAUCGUAGGAUUGCGUGAUUCAUUGGAAAAAGGGAUGAUAGCCACUUUUUUCUCUAUAACAGGAUUAUUAGUUUCUCGUUGGAUUUCUUCAGGACAUUUUCCGUUAAGUAAUUUAUACGAGUCAUUAAUCUUCCUUUCGUGCAGUUUCUCCAUUAUUCAUAUGAUUUCCAAGAUGGGGAACCAUAAAAAUGAUUUAAGCACAAUAACCGCACCAAGUACCAUUUUUACACAAGGCUUUGCCACGUCGGGUUUUUUAACUGAAAUGCAUCAAUCCGCAAUAUUAGUACCUGCUCUACAAUCUCAGUGGUUAAUGAUGCACGUAAGUAUGAUGUUAUUAAGCUAUGCAGCUCUUUUAUGCGGAUCACUAUUAUCAGUCGCUCUUCUAGUCAUUACAUUUCGAAAAAACAUCGAUAUUUUUUGUAAAGGUAAUAAUUUCUUAAUUAAACCAUUUUUCUUUGGUGAGAUUCAAUAUUUGAAUGAAAAAAGAAGUGUUUUUAAAAACACUUCUUUUCUUUCAUUUCGAAAUUAUUAUAAAUAUCAAUUGACUCAACGUUUGGAUUAUUGGAGUUAUCGUGUCAUUAGUUUAGGAUUUACCUUUUUAACCAUAGGCAUUCUUUGUGGAGCAGUAUGGGCUAAUGAGGCAUGGGGAUCUUAUUGGAAUUGGGACCCCAAAGAAACUUGGGCUUUUAUUACUUGGACCAUAUUCGCGAUUUAUUUACAUACUAGAACUAGAAUACAUAUUAGAAGUAGAACAAAUCAAAGUUUGCAAAGUAUGAAUUCGGCACUUGUGGCUUCUAUAGGAUUUCUUAUAAUUUGGGUAUGUUAUUUUGGAAUCAAUCUAUUAGGAAUAGGUCUACAUAGUUAUGGUUCAUUCACAUUAACAUCUACUUGAAUAAACUACACAGAUAAAUAAUUGAAUAAACUACAUAAAGAAUACAUAAGAACAUCAUCCCAUAUAUAUAUAAAAAGCUUCUUGUUUGUGCGAGUUUUUGAGAACCGUUUGAAUCAUUCCUUAUUCAAAACGGUUCUCAAAAACUCAAAAUGCAUCUCAUUACAAUUCUAAUUCACUUUAUUCUUUUGCAUUGUACAGCGAACGAUUUUAAAAAUCUUAAAAUCAAAGACAAAAAUUAUAUUUCCGUAUUAUUAAUGAAAGACUAUCGAUGAAAGUAAUUAGAUAGGAUAGCUUGCACCCUGUCAACUGAUAGCGAGAGAACGAAAUCCGGAUAAAUACCAAUACCUAUUACGGGUAGAAAGAUACAGAUUGAAACAAAUAGUUCUCGUGGUCCAGAAUCCGCAAAAUUAGAGUUUGGAACAUUGAAUAGCUUGUAUCCAUAGAACAUCUGACGUAACAUAGAUAAUAAAUAAAUAGGAGUUAAUAUCAUUCCAAUUGCCAUUACAAAAGUAAUUAGCAUUUUUGGCAUUAAAAGGUAUUUUGGACUAGUAAUUAUUCCAAAAAAUACUAAUAAUUCCGCAACAAAACCACUCAUUCCUGGCAAUGCAAGAGAAGCCAUCGAAAAACUACUGAACAUGGUAAAUAGUUUUGGCAUUGGGAUCGAUACCCCCCCCAUUUCGUCGAGAUAAACAAGACGUAUUCUAUCACAACUCGUUCCUGCCAAGAAAAAAAGCGCAGCACCAAUAAAUCCAUGAGAGAGUAUUUGUAAAAUGGCACCGUUGAGUCCCAUUCCGGUUAUAGAACCAAUUCCUAUAAUUGUGAAACCCAUGUGAGAUACAGAGGAAUAGGCUAUUCUUUUUUUUAAAUUCCGUUGACCGAGAGAGGUUGAAGCUGCAUAGAUUAUUUGAAUCGUUCCCACUAUUACCAACCAGGGAGAAAAUAUAGAAUGAGCGUGGGGUAAUAAUUCCAUAUUGAUCCGAAUAAGUCCAUAUGCGCCCAUUUUUAAUAAGAUUCCAGCUAGAAGCAUACAUGUACUGUAAUGUGCUUCUCCAUGGGUAUCUGGUAACCACGUAUGUAGGGGUAUAAUCGGCGAUUUGACAGCAUAAGCAAUAAGGAAUCCAAAAUAUAAUAUUAUUUCCAAUGCCACAGGAUAUGAUUGAUUAGUUAAUUUUGAAAAAUCUAAUGUGGGUUCAUUAGGGCCAUAUAAACCCAUACCUAGAACUCCUAUUAAGAGAAAAAUGGAGCCCCCCGCAGUGUACAAAAUAAACUUUGUGGCCGAGUAGAGACGUUUCUUUCCCCCCCACAUGGAUAAAAGUAAAUAAACAGGAAUUAAUUCUAACUCCCACAGCAUGAAAAAAAGUAAAAGGUCUCUAGAAGAAAAUAAUCCUAUUUGACCGCUGUACAUUGCUAACAUGAGAAAAUAGAACAAUCGCGAA